AUAGUUUUACCAUCUCUGUUUUCUACAUUUGUUUAUUUGAUACAUCAAAAAACUAAGUAAAGGAGAAAGAAGUAGUAUAUAAAAACGUUAAGUACCGCGAGGAAAAAGUAAUUUAAAAGUAAACAGCUGAUUAAAAGCGUACUUUUAGCAUCACGGCCUUGCAAGAGACCUCUAAAGAACUUAGCCUUCUCGAAAACUGACGAGCUAUUUUUAACCAGCCUUUUAGGGCUUAUGCCUGUAUUGCGCUUGUAAAUGUGACAAAAUUUUAAUAAGAGGUAAAAAUAGAUAUAAUACGUAACCCGCGUCAGCGAUAGCUAGUUCCUCCUGAAAAGCAUAUAAGUGCUGCGCUGAUCUUUGUUUCAAGUACUACAUUAGUAAUGAAACGAAUUCCGCAGUGAAUUAUCUAAGGAUAAGCUUAGAUAAUUUAGGGAGAUAUUUAUCUCGUUUAUUUUCUUUGUAGGCCUGAAAUUAGCCACCAUAAAUAAGUUUGUUAUAAAUUAAACUUUCUAAGACGAAAAAUACCUGUAUUUUCAAACCCUAAAGCUAAGGAGGUGUAAGCUAUAAUUAAUAUGUAGUUUANUACCUAUGCUAGGAUGAGUAUUUUACUUAAAAUUGUUUAAAGGUUCUCAGAUAAAACCUUUUGUAAAAUAAAUAUUUAAAAAUAGAAUUAAGAAAAAGGAACUCGGCAAACUUUUGCCUCGCCUGUUUAUCAAAAACAUCGCUCCUUGUAUUUAAAAAAAUAAAGGAGUUGAACCUGCCCAGUGAAAAUUUUUAACGGCCGCGGUACUCUGACCGUGCAAAGGUAGCAUAAUCAUUUGCCUUAUAAUUGAAGGCUAGUAUGAAUGGUUUGACGAGGGCAAUGCUGUCUCUAUCUUAAUAAAUAGAACUUGACAUAUAGGUGAAGAGGCCUAUUUAAUAUUGAAGGACAAGAAGACCCUGUCGAGCUUAAAGUGUUAUAUAGAUAUAAAUAUUCUUCAAAAUAAAAUUCUUUUACACACUUUUAGUUGGGGCGACUAGGGAACAAACAAAGCUUCCCUUAAAGAAAAAACGGACUAGUUAUGAUCCAGCACUGGCUGAUCGAAGGAAUUAGUUACCGCAGGGAUAACAGCAUAAUCUCUCUUGAGAGGCCUAAUCGAAAGAGGGGGUUGUGACCUCGAUGUUGGACUAGAAUAUCCUGAAGGUGCAGAAGUCUUCGUGGGUUGGUCUGUUC
rnacentral:rRNA from 1 species